AUACGGAGGAUCCGAGCGUUAUCCGGAUUUAUUGGGUUUAAAGGGUGCGCAGGCGGGAGAUUAAGUCGGCGGUGAAAUUUUGCAGCUCAACUGUAGAAGGGCCUUCGAAACUGGUUUUCUUGAGUGUAGAUGGAGUAGGCGGAAUUUGUGGUGUAGCGGUGAAAUGCAUAGAUAUCACGAGGAACUCCGAUUGCGCAGGCAGCUUACUAAACUACUACUGACGCUCAGGCACGAAGGCGUGGGGAUCAAACAGGAUUAGAUACCCUGGUAGUCCUCGCAGUAAACGAUGAAUACUAGCUGUUUGCGAUACAAUGUAAGCGGCUGAGCGAAAGCGUUAAGUAAUCAACCUGGGGAGUACGUUCGCAAGAAUGAAACUCAAAGGAAUUGACGGGU
rnacentral:rRNA from 1 species